rnacentral:lncRNA from 1 species
AUUCUUGUUGAUGAAUAUUCUGGAAAAAUACAAUAAUAAUAAUAAUUUGAGCUCAGAUUCCAUUAUACAUGUUAGGCCCUGAAUCAAGGUUCAAACUCGGUAGUCCGUUCUGUAAAGAGUCAAUGUAUUGCUGGUUAGAAAGUGUUGGAUUGCUUUUAAAUAAGUCCUUUAAUGUUGGGUUGAUACGAUAAUCAUAUUUUGAUGUGUUGUAUGGAUUUUUAUGUUUGGUUUUGAUACUUGCGAAUGGUUAUGCGAAUAAACCGCGGCUGUGCAUAGAUUGUAAUUUGUGUCUAUAUCUUCAACUUGAAUGUAUAUAUAAUCUGUUGCUGCUAACUGCUAACUGCUAUGUCCAAAUGCUAACUGCUAUGUCCAAAGCUUGGCAAGAUCUUUUCACUUUUUGAAAUGCUGAAGUUUAUAACUUGUGUCUAUAGUGAUUGAAAUAUUAAUGUUGAAUUUCGGUUUGAAAGUGUAAGGAAUGCCAAAGGUUCCCUAUCCGUUCGUGGCUGUUCUUGUUGUUUCUUAAGCUGUUUUGAGUUUAAAAGUAGUUUCUACAGACAAACCUUAAAGCUUAUUCCCAUUUUUUUGUUAUCCUAACUUUGUGAUUAUUAUUGGUGCUAUAGUUAAAAUGUAAAUUUAUGGAUUAGUUCACAGUAUAGUCAUAUUGUCAAUUAUGUGAUUGGUUUGAUUAUCAUAAGUUAAUAUUGUCAAAUAUGUGAUUGGUUUGAUUAUCAUAAGUUAAUUUACAUUAUUGAUUGCUUGCUGAAUUUUUAUAUUGUAUAUAGAUUUAGUUUUGAUUCUAUGGCCUGCUUGUUAAUAUGUGCAUAACAUGAAGUGGAUUCUGUUGGGUUUCAAAUCCAUUGUGAUAAUUUGGAGUUCUGACUCAGUGUUUAGAAAAUUUAAAUUAUUACUUGUCUCAUCUUCACUAUUCAAAUAAUUACAUUUUGUCAAAUAAAUUAAUUAGCUUUAGUCAAUCUGAUCAGUUGGUUUAAUUAAACAAAUUUUAAUUAGCUCAAUUAAUCCAUUUAAUCGGCUUUGAUCAGUUAAUUUUGCUAAAAAAAGAAUUGGAUUAAUUUCUUUCACUCUCACACCUUCACAUUAUUUCAAACAAAGAAAAAAACAUUUCAUUUCAUUUCAAUUCCAAACCAUUUCAUUCCAAUUCCAAUUCCAAAUCAUCUUUUCAUAAAUCAUUUCAAAAUUCAAUUUUAUUUCAAUUCAUCAUCCAACACUUUUCAAAAUUCAUUUCAAAUCCAAAUUCAAAUCAUUUCUUCAAACCAUUCAACUUAAAAAGGAACUUUCUCUUUUAAACAUAAAACUUGGGAUUCUUCAAACCAUUCAACUUAAAAAGGAACUUUCUCUUUUAAACAUAAAACUUGGGAUGAAAAGGAGAUAGUAAGCGUACGCUUCACUAUUUCUCAAGCACUUAAACAAUUGGCGUACGCCAUAUUGCGUGAGUUCUUGUCACCCGAUUAAAUCUUAAUCAACACAAAUUCAAAUCAUUUUCCAAUCAACUCAAUUUCUAAAGUUUUUUCUCUUUCAAAUAUAAAUUUGGGAUGAAAAGGAGAUAGAAGGCGUACGCCUUACUAUUUCUCAAUUACUCGAAUAAUUGGCGUACGCCAUAUUGCGCGAGUUCUUGUCACCCGAUUAAACUUCAAAUCAUAAUAUUUCAAAACAUUUCUACAAAUUCUAAAUCCUUUUAUUCUAUAUUUCAGAUGAAAAGAGGAUAGGAGGCGUACGCCUCACUAUCUUUCGAUUAUUCGAAUAAUUGGCGUACGCCACAUUGCUCGAAUCUUCGUCAUCAAAUUAAAACCUUAAUCAUAUACAUCCAAAUCUCAUUUUCUAAAUCAUCUACAAAUCCUACAACCAUUUUAGAUGAAAAGAGGAUAGGAGGCGUACGCCUUACUAUCUUUCGAUCAUUCGAAUAAUUGGCGUACGCCACAUUGCUCGAAUCUUCGUCAUCAAUUCAAACCUACUAAUCCAAAAUUCAAACUAUUCUCGCGAAUCACAUAUAAACAUCUAAACAUAUCUUUUUACAAUAAACCUCGGAUGAUAAGAGAGGGGAGGCGUACGCCUCACCAUCUCUCGAUUAUUUGGAUAAUUGGCGUACGCCAUAUUGCACAAAUUAUCGACUUCCGACUAAAAUACCCUAAAUAAACUUGGAUAAAGAAAUAAGGGGCGUACGCCUCAUUAUUCUUUGAAUAAGCAAGUAGGGGGCGUACGCCUCACUACCGUGCAUAUUCAACAUCCACAAACAAACUUUCAAAAUAAUUCAAACGAAAAGGGAAUAGAAGGCGUACGCCUUAUUAUUCCUCGAAAGAAUUGGUCGAUUGGUGAACACCACAUUGCUCAAUCUUUCGUCGUUCUCCAAAAACAUCUCAAACAAAUCAAACUAACUUCUCGCCCCCGUGCGAUCGAAACCAAUCAAACCCAAACACAUCAAUUCAACUCGUCACCCCGCGUGACCAAAACCCUUUCAAAAAG